AUUGAACGCUGGCGGCAUGCCUUACACAUGCAAGUCGAACGGCAGCACGGGAGCAAUCCUGGUGGCGAGUGGCGAACGGGUGAGUAAAGUAUCGGAACGUGCCCAGUCGUGGGGGAUAACGUAGCGAAAGUUACGCUAAUACCGCAUACGAUCUAUGGAUGAAAGCGGGGGAUCGCAAGACCUCGCGCGAUUGGAGCGGCCGAUAUCAGAUGAGGUAGUUGGUGGGGUAAAGGCUCACCAAGCCGAAGAUCUGUAACUGGUCUGAGAGGACGACCAGCCACACUGGGACUGAGACACGGCCCAGACUCCUAGGGGAGGCAGCAGUGGGGAAUUUUGGACAAUGGGCGAAAGCCUGAUCCAGCCAUGCCGCGUGCAGGAUGAAGGCCUUCGGGUUGUAAACUGCUUUUGUACGGAACGAAAAGGUUUGGCCUAAUAAGCUGAGCUCAUGACGGUACCGUAAGAAUAAGCACCGGCUAACUACGUGCCAGCCGCCGCCGUAA
rnacentral:rRNA from 1 species